GGAGACGUGGGUGAGUGGCUGAAACCAACGGUUUGCUAAACCGUCGUGCUGUGAAUGCGGCACCGAGGGUUCGAAUCCCUCCGUCUCCGCCA
rnacentral:tRNA from 6 species